UUACGGUCAAAUCACGCUGAAAACACCGGUUCUCGUUCGAUCACCGAAGUUAAGCAUCGUAGAGCCAGGUCAGUACUUAGAUGGGGGACCCUUGGGAACACCUGGUACUGUAAG
rnacentral:rRNA from 1 species